rnacentral:rRNA from 1 species
CAGCAGCCGCGGUAAUACGAAGGGUGCAAGCGUUAAUCGGAAUUACUGGGCGUAAAGCGUGCGUAGGCGGUUUGUUAAGUCUGUUGUGAAAUCCCCGGGCUCAACCUGGGAAUGGCAAUGGAUACUGGCAAGCUAGAGUGUGUCAGAGGAUGGUGGAAUUCCCGGUGUAGCGGUGAAAUGCGUAGGGAUCGGGAGGAACAUCAGUGGCGAAGGCGGCCAUCUGGGACAACACUGACGCUGAGGCACGAAAGCGUGGGGAGCAAACAGGAUUAGAUACCCGGGUAGUCCCUGUCUCUUAUAC